UUUUACCAAAACUUUAGAAAUAAUCAAAAUUAAUGAAUUAGACACUUGAUGUAUCCGAAUGCAAAGAAAAAAUCUCAUAAAUUCGGCGAAUAUUGUUUGCAAGAACAACAACAAGUCAUAUUGGACCAAAUGAAAGCAAGAUAAUGCAAUUACCUACCCAAACCUGGGCAAGAAAAAAAAACACAACGUUUUAAUUAAAAACAAAUUACGCGGAUAAAAAUGGGCAAAUAUAAUUGCGAGCAUGCAACACGGCGUGGUUGCCAUAACGAACCUUCAAUGUCCGGAGUGAUUGCUCAAGUUUGGAGGAAAUAUCAUCGCCAUGCCAUAGUUGGCUACAAUGAUGCAGCUGUGGAUGCUUAGUUUCAAUCGUCAUCAUAAAUGAAAACCUUUGUGCCACAACGCUAACGAAACAUCAAACCAUUAGCAUCAAUAAAAACUGUUUUCGAUGGCAAUAUAAUGGCCGCUUUAGGUGAUGUUGGGAACAACAGCAGUAUACUAGACCCUCCCAUGACCCGCGGAAUGAUGAUGAUUUGCAAAUUAAUUUUUAUUUGGCCACUUGACUUUGGCCAAUAGAGGCAAUUGAAUUGCCAUGGAUGCAUGGAUGAAUAAAUGAAUGAUUGCCCAUUAUUUUCUGCCCAGCAGGCCCAACAACCAUGGAAGGGUAAAAUUCUAAAACUAAUUUGAAAAUUAUUUGUUGCUACAGCCGACGGACGGACGCACAAACGCAACACUGCAUACUGGAAAAUUGUUUAUCGCGCCACUAACUUUAAUUGAAAUAUUAUUGGUCAUACCACAGAGCAAUUAAAGCCAUGAAAAUUUAGUAUAACAACAAUAUGUCUAUGCCUGUAUAAUAGAUGAAUUAGCUCUCAUAAAAACAUUUAUCUCACGCCCCUUUGUCUUAAAUUAGCCUUAAGGUAACAGAAGAUUCAUUUCAGUAAAUAAACUAUACAAAUGCAAAUUUGUCCAUGAACAUUCCAUUAAGGAACUGGGGCAAACUUCUCACCGUC